AACGAACGCUGGCGGCAGGCUUAACACAUGCAAGUCGAACGCGUGUAGCAAUACACGAGUGGCGCACGGGUGAGUAACGCGUGGAUAUCUGCCUUUUGGUUCGGAAUAACCCCGGGAAACUGGGGCUAAUACCGGAUGGUUCCUUCGGGAUAAAGAUUUAUCGCCAAAAGAUGAGUCCGCGUCCGAUUAGCUAGUUGGUGAGGUAAUGGCUCACCAAGGCGACGAUCGGUAGCUGGUCUGAGAGGACGAUCAGCCACACUGGGACUGAGACACGGCCCAGACUCCUACGGGAGGCAGCAGUGGGGAAUAUUGGACAAUGGGGGCAACCCUGAUCCAGCCAUGCCGCGUGAGUGAUGAAGGCCUUCGGGUUGUAAAGCUCUUUUGGCGGGGACGAUGGUGACGGUACCCGCAGAAUAAGCCCCGGCUAACUUCGUGCCAGCCGCCGCGGUAA
rnacentral:rRNA from 1 species